rnacentral:rRNA from 1 species
AUAGCGUAUAUUAAAGUUGUUGCAGUUAAAAAGCUCGUAGUUGAACUUCAGAUUUGGUCGGGUGGUCCGCUUAACGGCGUGUUACUGCUUGGCUGGGUCUUGUCUCUUGGUGAACCAUUGUGCCCUUUGUUGGUGUGCUUUGGGGAACCAGGACUUUUACCUUGAGAAAAUUAGAGUGUUCAAAGCAGGCCUAUGCCUGAAUACAUUAGCAUGGAAUAAUAGAAUAGGACGUGUGGUUCUAUUUUGUUGGUUUCUAGAAUCGCCGUAAUGAUUAAUAGGGAUAGUUGGGGGCAUUGGUAUUCAGUCGCUAGAGGUGAAAUUCUUGGAUUGACUGAAGACCAACUACUG